rnacentral:lncRNA from 1 species
UGGAAAUCUUCUCCUAAUCUCCUUCCCGUCAAGCCGCAGCAGAGAAAAGCAAAUCGGAAACCAUUCUUGAGUUCUUUUUUCCCCAAUUCCUUUCGCUCAAUUCCUUCCCAAAAGCUCUCCACGCAGGCACCGACGCACGUUCCAAUUUCAGUAAAUAUUUUUGAUCGACAACUCUGCUAUGUGAUCUAUGAAGUCCCGAGUACACCGCAGGUACUGGCUUUUUUUUUUUUUUGCUUAUUUAUUACACGCGCAAAGGAGUUUAAUUUUCCAAUUUUGGGUUAGUUUAAUUUUCUAGUUUUUUUCCUGAUAAUAGAUUCUUUGUUGAGUGAGGUUUAAAAAAUUGGAAAUCAAAUUGUUUCAUGAAGUAGACAUUAGACUAAUAGUUUAAUUUUCUAGUUUUGGGUUACUUGUUGGUAGAUUCAUUCCGUGCUCUUUACUUUGAAUGAUCUGAUUGAUUGGAAAAUUUAUUAUGUAUUUAUGCAAAUUGUAGAGACUCAAUUGGUUUAGAUUUGAUUAAUUGACAAUUGUUUAGGGAACAUCAUAAUUAUUGAAAAAGUUUACAUUAUUGCAACGUUUUCAAAAUAUGAGACCAUGUAG